rnacentral:rRNA from 1 species
GGACCUGACUGCUAUCGGAUUGAUACUAAGCCAUGUGAGUCUUUGUAGCAAUACAAGGCAGACGGCUCAGUAACGCGUAGCCAACCUACCCUGUGGACAGGGAUAACCUCGGGAAACUGAGGAUAAUACCUGAUAGAUCAUAAUGCCUGGAACGGUUUAUGGUCCAAAUGAUUCGUCGCCGUAGGAUGGGACUGCGGCCUAUCAGCUUGUUGGUGAGGUAAUGGCCCACCAAGGCUAUUACAGGUACGGGCUCUGAGAGGAGAAGCCCGGAGAUGGGUACUGAGACACGGACCCAGGCCCUAUGGGGCGCAGCAGGCGAGAAAACUUUGCAAUGUGCGAAAGCACGACAAGGUUAAUCCGAGUGAUUCCUGCUAGAGGAAUCUUUUGUUAGUCGUAAAACCACUGAUGAAUAAGGGGUGGGCAAGUUCUGGUGU